GCGCAGCAGUCGCGAAAACUCCGCAAUACGCGAAAGCGUGACGGGGCCAUCCCGAGUGCCGUCCGCUGAGGAUGGCUUUUCCCUAGUGUAGAUAGCUGGGGGAAUAAGGAGAGGGCAAGUCUGGUGUCAGCCGCCGCGGUAAUACCAGCUCUUCUAGUGGUAGGGAUGUUUAUUGGGCCUGAAGCAUCCGUAGCUGGCUGUGCAAGUCCUCCGUUAAAUCCAGCGAUUUAAUCGUUGGAUUGCGGGGGAUACUGUUCGGCUAGGGGAUGGGAGAAGCCUACGGUAUUCCCGGGGUAGAGGUGAAAUCCUAUAAUCCCGGGAGGAGCACGAGUGGCGAAGACUGUUGGCUAGAACACGCCCGACAGUGAAGGAUGAAAGCUGGGGGAGCGAACCGGAUUAGAUACCCGGGUAGUCC
rnacentral:rRNA from 1 species